UACGUAGGGCGCAAGCGUUGUCCGGAAUUAUUGGGCGUAAAGAGCUCGUAGGCGGUUUGUCACGUCGGAUGUGAAAGCCCGGGGCUUAACCCCGGGUCUGCAUUCGAUACGGGCAGACUAGAGUGCGGUAGGGGAGAAUGGAACUCCUGGUGUAGCGGUGGAAUGCGCAGAUAUCAGGAAGAACACCGAUGGCGAAGGCAGUUCUCUGGGCCGUAACUGACGCUGAGGAGCGAAAGCGUGGGGAGCGAACAGG
rnacentral:rRNA from 1 species